rnacentral:misc_RNA from 1 species
GUCCUCAUGUUCUGCUCUGGCCAUUUUCUUUCCAUCUCUCACUACAAUCCAACCAGCCUCAAAAUCUAGGAGGUAGAGAAAGCAACAAAGUUCCCAAUCACCCAAGCAAGUGGCAGCAGAGUUAUAAUGUACUCCAUCCACAGUAGCACAGAGAAACUGGGAGAUCUUUUUCUGAUGAAACCAACAGUUGUAGUAUGAUGCAGUGGUCCAAUUGGACGGAAACAAGAGCAUCCCUGACAUGAUAAACU